AUUGACCCUUCGGGUGAUUUGUUGGGCGUCGAGCGGCGGACGGGUGAGUAAUGCCUGGGAAAUUGCCCUGAUGUGGGGGAUAACCAUUGGAAACGAUGGCUAAUACCGCAUAACGUCUACGGACCAAAGAGGGGGACCUUCGGGCCUCUCGCUUCAGGAUAUGCCCAGGUGGGAUUAGCUAGUUGGUGAGGUAAUGGCUCACCAAGGCGACGAUCCCUAGCUGGUCUGAGAGGAUGAUCAGCCACACUGGAACUGAGACACGGUCCAGACUCCUACGGGAGGCAGCAGUGGGGAAUAUUGCACAAUGGGCGCAAGCCUGAUGCAGCCAUGCCGCGUGUAUGAAGAAGGCCUUCGGGUUGUAAAGUACUUUCAGUCGUGAGGNAANGGCNGUUGAANGUUAANUAGCUUCAUCGUUUGACGUUAGCGACAGAAGNAAGCACCGGCUAACUCCGUGCCNAGCAGCCGCGGUAAUACGGAGGGUGCGAGCGUUAAUCGGAANUUACUNGGGCGUAAAGCGCAUNGCAGGUGGUUUGUUAAGUCAGAUGUGAAAGCCCGGGGCUCAACCUCGGAACCGCAUUUGAAACUGGCAGGCUAGAGUACUGUAGAGGGGGGUAGAAUUUCAGGUGUAGCGGUGAAAUGCGUAGAGAUCUGAAGGAAUACCAGUGGCGAAGGCGGCCCCCUGGACAGAUACUGACACUCAGAUGCGAAAGCGUGGGGGAGCAAACAGGAUUAGAUACCCUGGUAGUCCACGCCGUAAACGAUGUCUACUUGGAGGUUGUGGCCUUGAGCCGUGGCUUUCGGAGCUAACGCGUUAAGUAGACCGCCUGGGGAGUACGGUCGCAAGAUUAAAACUCAAAUGAAUUGACGGGGGCCCGCACAAGCGGUGGAGCAUGUGGUUUAAUUCGAUGCAACGCGAAGAACCNUUACCUACUCUUGACAUCCAGAGAACUCGCUAGAGAUAGCUUGGUGCCUUCGGGAACUCUGAGACAGGUGCUGCAUGGCUGUCGUCAGCUCGUGUUGUGAAAUGUUGGGUUAAGUCCCGCAACGAGCGCAACCCUUAUCCUUGUUUGCCAGCACGUAAUGGUGGGAACUCCAGGGAGACUGCCGGUGAUAAACCGGAGGAAGGUGGGGACGACGUCAAGUCAUCAUGGCCCUUACGAGUAGGGCUACACACGUGCUACAAUGGCGCAUACAGAGGGCGGCCAACCAGCGAUGGUGAGCGAAUCCCAAAAAGUGCGUCGUAGUCCGGAUUGGAGUCUGCAACUCGACUCCAUGAAGUCGGAAUCGCUAGUAAUCGUGAAUCAGAAUGUCACGGUGAAUACGUUCCCGGGCCUUGUACACACCGCCC
rnacentral:rRNA from 1 species